rnacentral:tRNA from 1 species
GACCCCGUAGCUCAGCGGAUUAGAGCAUCUGCCUACGGAGCAGAGGGUCGGGCGUUCGAAUCGCCCCGGGGUCG